UGGGAAUUUUUCGCAAUGGGCGCAAGCCUGACGAAGCAACGCCGCGUAGAGGAUGAAGGCCCUCGCGGUCGUAAACUCUUGUCUAGCGGGACGAAACUUUUGUGGGUGAAUAAUCCACGAGAUUGACUGUACCGCUGGAGGAAGCUCCGGCCAACUCCGUGCCAGCAGCCGCGGUAAUACGGAGGGAGCAAGCGUUACUCGGAAUUACUGGGCGUAAAGGGCGCGUAGGCGUCCAUACAAGUCUUGUGUGAAAGCCCCGUGCUUAACACGGGAAGUGCACAAGAUACUGAAUGGAUUGAGUUCCGGAGAGGAAGAUGGAAUUCCCGGUGUAGCGGUGAAAUGCGUAGAUAUCGGAGGAACACCAGUGGCGAAGGCGAUCUUCUGGACGGAUACUGACGCUGAGGUCGCGAAAGCUAGGGGAGCAAACAGGAUUAGGAUACCCUGGUAGUCCACGCCCUAAACGGU
rnacentral:rRNA from 1 species